GUUAUAUGGUCAAGCGAAUAAGCGCACACGGUGGAUGCCUUGGCGGUCAGAGGCGAUGAAGGACGUGGCAGCCUGCGAAAAGUAUCGGGGAGCUGGCAACAAGCUUUGAUCCGGUAAUGUCCGAAUGGGGAAACCCACCCGCUUGCGGGUAUCCUGCAGUGAAUACAUAGCUGCUGGAAGCGAACCUGGUGAACUGAAAUAUCUAAGUAACCAGAGGAAAAGAAAUCAACCGAGAUUCCGUAAGUAGCGACGAGCGAACGCGGACUAGCCCUUAAGCUGAUUUGGUUCUAGGAAAAUGCUCUGGAAAGAGCAGCCAUAGAAGGUGAUAGCCCUGUAUCUGAAAGGGCCAUUUCAGUGAAGACGAGUAGGGCGGGGCACGUGAAACCCUGUCUGAACAUGGGGG
rnacentral:rRNA from 1 species